rnacentral:lncRNA from 1 species
CUAUUUUCCUUUGAUUUUUGGAGAUGAAGCUCAGGAAGAAGUUGAAAAGGUUAGAGCAUUUGGUCAUAAGUUGCUCAAAGAGUACAAGAGACCACAUCGUUUGACAGAAAAUACAUAUUUGUUUCCAUCAUCUUCACAAUCAGAGUCGUCUACUACUAGUGGAAAACAUUCUCGCAUGGCUGGUUUUGAUACAUUUGUUAGCCUUUCUGUUACUGCUGAUCAUGUAAAAACAGAGUUCGAUAUUUUUCUAGAUGAGCCAGUAUUGCCUAGGGUGGACGGUUUUGAUCUAUUGACAUGGUAGAAAGCAAAUUCAAUAAAAUAUCCGACUUUACAGAAGGUUGCAAGAGAUUUAUUAGCCAUUCCAGUAUCUACUGUUGCAUCCGAGUCAUCAUUUAGUACAAGUGGUAGAUUUGUGAGCCCACAUAGAAAUAGGCUUCACCCGAAGACUUUAGAAGCUUUAAUGUGUGCUCGAGAUUGGCUUUGGUCUGAUAUUCAUGGUAGGAUGUAUUGUUUUAUGUUUGUUAUUUAUGCACUUUCUUUUAUUGCUAAUUUUUUCCUCUUUUGUGUGUAGAAAAUUCUGGUCCUUCAUCAUAUUCCGGAGCUUGUGCAAAGUUUGAUGACGAGGAUGUUGACGAAGAGGUACAUUUUUUUGUUUAAAUAUUUAGUUAAAAACAUUAUGGAUUAUUGAUUUAUUACUCUACUUACAUUUCUUAUAUACUAUAUAGGAAUCGACUUUGAGUUUUGACGGAUGCCAGUAAGAGUUGUGGAGAAGAAUGAAGAUUGAAUAUGAAUUGAAGUUGAAGCUUUUUGAGUUAUUGAAUAUUGUUUGUUAAAUUUGGAUUUUGUGUUUGAGAAUUGGGAUUUUUUUGCAUUUUCAUUUGGGAUGUAUUGUUGUUCGUUACAUUAACUUAGUAUCAUGUUUUUGUUUUCAUUUUAAUUCGACGGAUGGACCAAUUAAAAAUAAUUUAUUUUCGUGGUUAUUAACAA